AUAUAUCAACUGCUUUUAACAUUUAGAUGAUGAAAGUGAAGUUGGAAUUGGAGGAUAAUUGCUGGCGUGACUUAGGUUGCUUGUUAGCUCCUCUUGAAAGUAUGAGCUUUUCUAAUAGAUCAUGGCUUGAUGACACUAAUGUGAUAAGUAUCUACAUUAGAUGUUUCUAGCUGUGAGUUGGGUGACUUCAAUUAUGAAGGAGCUCCUAUAGAAAGGGAUGUCUUAGAAAUGAAGUGUCUCGGAAAAAUUUUUUGAGCCUUGUUUCUAAGGGGAAGAUAAAAUAUAUAUAUAC
rnacentral:misc_RNA from 1 species